GCUCCCGUGGUGAAACGGAUAUCAUAGUUGCCUUCGAAGCAAUCGUUCCAGGUUCGAAUCCUGGCGUAGUA
rnacentral:tRNA from 1 species